rnacentral:rRNA from 1 species
GACAGCAGUAGCCACGGUAAUACGUAGGUCCCGAGCGUUGUCCGGAUUUAUUGGGCGUAAAGGGAGCGCAGGCGGUUUGGUAAGUCUGAAGUUAAAGGCAUUGGCUCAACCAAUGUAUGCUUUGGAAACUGUUAGACUUGAGUGCAGAAGGGGGGAGUGGAAUUCCAUGUGUAGCGGUGAAAUGCGUAGAUAUAUGGAGGAACACCGGUGGCGAAAGCGGCUCUCUGGUCUGUCACUGACGCUGAGGCUCGAAAGCGUGGGUAGCGAACAGGAUUAGAUACCCGUGUAGUCCCUGUCUCUUAUACA